rnacentral:misc_RNA from 1 species
GAUGAAGAACGCAGCGAAAUGCGAUACUUGGUGUGAAUUGCAGAAUCCCGUGAACCAUCGAGUCUUUGAACGCAAGUUGCGCCCGAAGCCACUAGGCCGAGGGCACGCCUGCCUGGGCGUCACACGCCGUUGCCCCCCCAUCUACUCCUUCGGGAUUGCGGGGGGGCGGAUGAUGGCCUCCCGUGUGCCUAGCCGCGCGGUUGGCAUAAAUACCAAGUCCUCGGCGACGCACGCCACGACAAUCGGUGGUUGCGAAACCUCGGUUGCCCGUCGUGUGCGUUCGUCGCGCAUCGAGGGCUCGAAAAAAUGCUCGGCUCCGGCUGGGCUUUCAACGCGACCCCAGGUCAGGCGGGGUUACCCGCUGAAUUUAAGCAUAUCAAUAAGCGGAGGA